rnacentral:rRNA from 1 species
GGAGGAAAAGAAACUACCAAGGAUUCCCCUAGUAACUGCGAGUGAAGCGGGAAAAGCUCAAAUUUAAAAUCUGGCGGUCUUUUGGCUGUCCGAGUUGUAAUCUAGAGAAGUGUUAUCCGCGCUGGACCGUGUACAAGUCUCCUGGAAUGGAGCAUCAUAGAGGGUGAGAAUCCCGUCUUUGACAUGGACUCCCAGGGCUUUUGUGAUGCGCUCUCAAAGAGUCGAGUUGUUUGGGAAUGCAGCUCAAAAUGGGUGGUAAAUUCCAUCUAAAGCUAAAUAUUGGCGAGAGACCGAUAGCGAACAAGUACCGUGAGGGAAAGGUGAAAAGAACUUUGGAAAGAGAGUUAAACAGUGCGUGAAAUUGCUGAAAGGGAAACGCUUGAAGUCAGUCGCGUUGUCCGGGGAUCAACCUUGCUUUUGCUUGGUGCACUUUCUGGUUAACGGGUCAGCAUCAAUUUUGACCGUUGGAAAAAGAUCAGGGGAAUGUGACAUCUUUGGAUGUGUUAUAGCCCUUGGUUGCAUACAACGGUUGGGAUUGAGGAACUCAGCACGCUCUCUCUCAGGAGGGUCGGACUUGGGGUCACGUACGUGCUUAGGAUGCUGGCAUAAUGGCUUUAAUCGACCCGUCUUGAAACACGGACCAAGGAGUCUAACAUACCUGCGAGUGUUUGGGUGGAAAACCCGAGCGCGUAAUGAAAGUGAAAGGUUGAGAUCCCUGUCAUGGGGAGCAUCGACGCCCGGACCAGACCUUUUGUGACGGUUCCGCGGUAGAGCAUGUAUGUUGGGACCCGAAAGAUGGUGAACUAUGCCUGAAUAGGGUGAAGCCAGAGGAAACUCUNGGUGGAGGCUCGUAGCGAUUCUGACGUGCAAAUCGAUCGUCAAAUUUGGGUAUAGGGGGCGAAAGACUAAUCGAACCAUCUAGU